GAUGAACGCUGGCGGCGUGCCUAAUACAUGCAAGUCGAGCGAGCGGACGAGAAGCUUGCUUUUCUGAUGUUAGCGGCGGACGGGUGAGUAACACGUGGAUAACCUACCUAUAAGACUGGGAUAACUUCGGGAAACCGGAGCUAAUACCGGAUAAUAUUUUGAACCGCAUGGUUCAAAAGUGAAAGACGGUCUUGCUGUCACUUAUAGAUGGAUCCGCGCUGCAUUAGCUAGUUGGUAAGGUAACGGCUUACCAAGGCAACGAUGCAUAGCCGACCUGAGAGGGUGAUCGGCCACACUGGAACUGAGACACGGUCCAGACUCCUACGGGAGGCAGCAGUAGGGAAUCUUCCGCAAUGGGCGAAAGCCUGACGGAGCGACGCCGCGUGAGUGAUGAAGGUCUUCGGAUCGUAAAACUCUGUUAUUAGGGAAGAACAUAUGUGUAAGUAACUGUGCACAUCUUGACGGUACCUAACCAGAAAGCCACGGCUAACUACGUG
rnacentral:rRNA from 1 species